AUUGAACGCUGGCGGCAGGCCUAACACAUGCAAGUCGAACGAGUGGCGGACGGGUGAGUAAUGUCUGGGAAACUGCCCGAUGGAGGGGGAUAACUACUGGAAACGGUAGCUAAUACCGAAUACCAUCUGAUGUGCCCAGAUGGGCUUAGCUAGUAGGUGGGGUAAUGGCUCACCUAGGCGACGAUCCCUAGCUGGUCGUAGAGGAUGACCAGCCACACUGGAACUGAGACACGGUCCAGACUCCUACGGGAGGCAGCAGUGGGGAAUAGUGCACAAUGGGCGCAAGCCUGAUUCAUCCAUGCCGCGUGUAUGAAGAAGGCCUUCGGGUUGUAAAGUACUUUCAGCGGGGAGGCGUUACCCGCAGAAGAAGCACCGGCUAACGCCGUGCCAGCAGCCGCGGUAAUUC
rnacentral:rRNA from 1 species